GGCUCAGGACGAACGCUGGCGGCGUGCUUAACACAUGCAAGUCGAGCGGAAAGGCCACUUCGGUGGUACUCGAGCGGCGAACGGGUGAGUAACACGUGAGUAAUCUGCCCUCCACUUUGGGAUAGCCACCGGAAACGGUGAUUAAUACCGGAUAUGACCUGGUGCCGCAUGGUGCUUGGUGGAAAGUUUUUCGGUGGGGGAUGUGCUCGCGGCCUAUCAGCUUGAUGGUGGGGUAAUGGCCUACCAUGGCUUCGACGGGUAGCCGGCCUGAGAGGGUGACCGGCCACACUGGGACUGAGACACGGCCCAGACUCCUACGGGAGGCAGCAGUGGGGAAUAUUGGACAAUGGGCGGAAGCCUGAUCCAGCAACGCCGCGUGAGGGAUGACGGCCUUCGGGUUGUAAACCUCUUUCGCCUGCGACGAAGCGAAAGUGACGGU
rnacentral:rRNA from 1 species